GAUGAACGCUGGCGGCGUGCCUAAUACAUGCAAGUCGAGCGAAUGGAUUAAGAGCUUGCUCUUAUGAAGUUAGCGGCGGACGGGUGAGUAACACGUGGGUAACCUGCCCAUAAGACUGGGAUAACUCCGGGAAACCGGGGCUAAUACCGGAUAACAUUUUGAACCGCAUGGUUCGAGAUUGAAAGGCGGCUUCGGCUGUCACUUAUGGAUGGACCCGCGUCGCAUUAGCUAGUUGGUGAGGUAACGGCUCACCAAGGCAACGAUGCGUAGCCGACCGGAGAGGGUGAUCGGCCACACUGGGACUGAGACACGGCCCAGACUCCUACGGGAGGCAGCAGUAGGGAAGCUUCCGCAAUGGACGAAAGUCUGACGGAGCAACGCCGCGUGAGUGAUGAAGGCUUUCGGGUCGUAAAACCCUGUUGUUAGGGAAGAACAAGUGCUAGUUGAAUAAGCUGGCACCUUGACGGUACCUAACCAGAAAGCCACGGCUAACUACGUGCCAGCAGCCGCCGUAA
rnacentral:rRNA from 1 species